UACGGGGGGGGCAAGCGUUGUUCGGAAUUACUGGGCGUAAAGGGCUCGUAGGCGGCCAACUAAGUCAGACGUGAAAUCCCUCGGCUUAACCGGGGAACUGCGUCUGAUACUGGAUGGCUCGAGUGUGGGAGAGGGAUGCGGAAUUCCAGGUGUAGCGGUGAAAUGCGUAGAUAUCUGGAGGAACACCGGUGGCGAAGGCGGCAUCCUGGACCAUAACUGACACUGAUAAGCGAAAGCCAGGGGAGCAAACGGG
rnacentral:rRNA from 1 species